CCUACGGGAGGCAGCAGUGGGGAAUAUUGGUCAAUGGGCGCGAGCCUGACCCAGCCAAGUAGCGUGAAGGAUGACUGCCCUACGGGUUGUAAACUUCUUUUAUAAAGGAAUAAAGUGAGGCACGUGUGCCUUUUUGUCUGUACUUUAUCAAUAGGGAUCGGCUAACUCCGUGCCAGCCGCCGCGGUAAUACGGAGGAUCCGAGCGUUAUCCGGAUGUAUUGGGUUUAAAGGGAGCGUAGAUGGGUUGUUAAGUCAGUUGUGAAAGUUUGCGGCUCAACCGUAAAAUUGCAAUUGAUACUGGCAGUCUUGAGUACAGUUGAGGUAGGCGGAAUUCGUGGUGUAGCGGUGAAAUGCUCAGAUAUCACGAAGAACUCCGAUUGCGAAGGCAGCUUACUAAACUGCCACUGACAUUGAUGCUCGAAAGUGUGGGUAUCAAACAGGAUUAGAUACCCCAGUAGUC
rnacentral:rRNA from 1 species